UGUCUUUCCAGAGAUGUGUUUUCUCUACUAAUCUUGCUGAUCUCAGAGACUGCAGAAAAGGUACUGCCUGAUGGAGAAURCAGGAGACUUCUGUAACAUUUUUUAAUGUGCCUCAGGUUGCUGGUUUGAUAGUGUGCUGGCRACUCCUUGGAGUAAAGACAUUACAUCGUGCCAGGACUGCUGCUGACCCUAGGGGCUGCUUCCCAGACUGUGUAACCUUCAGCCAGAAAUUCCUCACUGGCAACCUGGCAUCUCRGGACCUUUAGAC